rnacentral:snoRNA from 1 species
AUGCCAUGGUGAGGACACUAUCUUUGCAAACCCUUGUAUGUCUGUCAUGCCUCAUAGAGAGACUCCAAUUCAUGUUGUUGAAAACCAGAUAUCUCAUUUUUGAACUU